AAAUCAACAAAAGACAUUUGGGAGCCCAUUGAGCCCAAUAGCAAAAAACCGAAUAUACUGUGAUAAAAACUAGCAAGAAUCUAUCUGGGAAAAUGCUUUCCAAUGUGUGGAUUCAUUUAGAAGAUUAAACCUUUUUUUUGAUUCACCAUGUUGCAAACAUUUCUUUUGUAGAAUCUACAAAAGAUAUUUGGGAGUCCAUUGAGUCCUAUAGUGAAAAAGUGAAUAUCCCAGGAUAAAAACUAGAAAGAAGCUCUCUGUGAAAACGCUUUGCAAUGUGUGGAUUCAUCUCACAGAGUUAAACCUUUCUUUUGAUUCAGCACCCUGGAAAUGCUGUUUUUGUAGAAUCUGUGAAGAGACAUUUGAGAACCCUUGAGGCCUGUAGUGAAAACGAAUAUUCACACACACACACAAAAAAUAACUAAAAAGAAACUAUAUGUGGAAACUCUUUGCAAUUUAUGCAUUCAUCUCCCAGAGUUGAAUCUUUACUUUGAUUCAGCAGGAUGGAAAAUCUUUUUUUGUAGAAUCUGUGAUGGGACAUUUAAAAGCCCAUUGAGGGCUGGGCGUGGUAGCUCACACCUGUAAUCCCAGCACUUUGUGAGGGCGAGGCAGAUCAUGAGGUCAGGAGAUCAAGACCAUCCUGGCUAACAUGGUGAAACCCCGUCUCUACUAAAAAAUAGAAAAAAUUAACUGGGCGUUGGGGCAGGCGCCUGUAGUACCAGCUACUUGGGAGGCUGAAGAAUGAGAAUGGCAUGAACCCGGGAGGCAGAGCUUGCAGUGAGCCAAGAUCACACCACUGCACUCCAGCCUGGGUGACAGAGCGAAACUCCAUCUCAAAAAAAAAAAAAAAAGCCCAUUGAGGACUUUGGUGAAAAACCAAAUAUUCCUCGAAAAAAAAAAAAGUAGCUAUCUGUGGAAAGACUAUGGAAUGUGGGAUCCAUCUAACGAAGUUUAACCUUUCUUUUUAUUUGCAGGUUGGAAACACUCUUAUUGUAGAACCUGCCCAGGGAUAAUUGGGAGCCCAUUGAGGCCUGUAGUGAAAAACUGAAAAUCCCACCAUACACACUGAAAAGAAACUAUCUGUGAAAAACACUUUGCAAUGUGUGGAUUCAUUUUACAGAGUUAAACAUUUCUUUGCAAACACUCUCUUUGGAAAUGUAUGAAAGAUAUUUUGGAGCCCUUGAGGCCUAUAGUGAUAAAUUGUAUAUCCUGUGAUUAAAAAGUAGAAUGAAAUGAAUUGUGAAAUGCUUUGCCAUGGGUGGAUUUGUCUCAUGGAGGUAAACCUUUCUUUCGAUUCAGUAGGUAGGAAACAUUCUUUUUGUAGAAUGUGCAAAGGGACAUUUUGGGAGCCCACUGAGGCCCAUAGUGAAAAACCUAAUAUCCCGUGAUAAAAACCAGAAAAAAGCUGUGUGUAAAAACGCUUUGCCAUGUGAGGAUACAUCUCAAAGAGUUAAACCUUUGCUCUGAUUCUGCAGGUUGGAAACACUCUCUUGGUAGAAUAUGAGAAGGGACAUUUGAGAGCCCAUGGAGGCCUAUAUUGAAAAACUGAAUAUUUUGUGAUAUAAACUAGAAAGAAGCUAUUUUUGAAAAUGCUUUGUAAUGUGAGGAUUCAUCUCACAAUGGUAAGCCAUUCUUUUGAUUCUGUAGGUUGAAAACACUCGUUAUUUAGAAUCUGUGAAGGGAAAUUCGGGAGCCACUUGAGGCCUAUAGUGAAAAACUGAAAAUCCCCAGAUAAAAACUAGAAAAAGCUGUCUGUGAAAACAGUUUGUGAUGUGUGAAAUCAUCUCAAAGAGUUAAACCUUUCUUUUGAUUGAGCAGGUAUGAAACAAUGUUUUUGUAGAAUCUGCAAAGGGACAUUUGGAAGCCCAUUGAGGCCUAUAGUGAAAAACCAAAUAUUCUGUGUAAAAACUAGAAAUAAGAUAUAUGUGAAAAUGAUUGGGAUGUGAGGAUUCAACUCAAAGAGUUAAACCUUCCUUUUGAUUCAGCAGGUUGGAAACACUCUUUUGGAAGCAUCUGCAAAGGGACAUUUGUGAGCCAAUAGAGCCCUGUAGGGAAAACUGAAUAUUUCCCCCUUGGCCAAAAAAAAACAAAAACAAAAACAAAAACAAAAACAAAAACAAAAAAACAAAAAACAGCAACAAAAAACCCUCAAAGCUAUUUGAGGACAUGCUUUGUGAUGUGUGGAUUCAUCUCGCAGAAGUAAACCUUAAUUUUGAUUCAGCAGGUUGGAAACACUCUUGUUGUAGAAUGUGUACAGGGAUAUUUGGAAGCUCUUAGAGGCACACAUGGAAAAACCGAGUAUCCCGCAAUAAAAACUAGAAAGAAUAUAUCUGUGAAAAUGCUUUGCCAUGUGUGGAUAAAUCAAAUCUAGAUAAACCUUUCUUUACAUUCAGCAUGUUGGAAACACUCUUCUUAUAGAAUCUGUGAACGGACAUUUUGGGGUCCAUUGAUGCCUAUACUGAAAAACUGACUAUUCUGAAAUGAAAACUAGAAAAAAACUACCUGUGGAAACGCUCUGUGAAGUGUGGAUUCAUCUCACAAAGUUAAAACUUUCUAUUGAAAGGUUGAAUACACUUUUUUUUUUUGUAGAUUCUGCCAAGGCACAUAUGGGAGGCCAUUGAGGCCUAGAGUGAAAAGCCGAAUAUACCACAAGAAAAACUAGAAAAAGUGAUCUGAGGAAACACUUUGCAAUGUGUGGAUUCAACUCACCAAGUUGAACAAUUCUUUGAUUCAGCAGCAUGUUGGAAACACUCAGUUUGUAGAAUUUAAGAAGGACAUUUGAAAGCCCGUUGAGGCCUACAGUGAAAAACAGAAUAUCACAUGAAAAAACUAGAAAGAAACUUCCUUUGAAAACGCUUGUGAUGUGUGGACUCAUCUCACAGAGGUAAACCUUUCUUUUGAUUCAGUUGAUUGGAAACAUUCUUUUUGUAGAAUCUGCAAAUGGACAUUUGGGAACUCAUUUAGGCAUAUAGUGAAAAACCAAAUAUUCCAUGACACAAACUAGAAGGAGGCUAUUGUGAAAACGUUUUGCAAUGAGUGGAUUCAUCUGGCAGAGUUAAACCUUUCUUUUAUUCAGCAUGUUUGAAACACACUUCCUGUAGAAUCUAUGAAGGGACAUUUGGGAGCCCAUUGUGGCCUAUAGUGAAAAACUGAAUAUUACCCCCAAAAAACUAGAAAGAAGCUAUUUGUGCUAAUGCUUUGCAGUGUGUGGAUUUACCUCACAGAGUUAAACCUUUUUUUGAUUCAACUGGUUGGAAACACUAUUUUUGUAUAAUCUGCAAAGGACAUUUGGGAACCCAUUCAGGCCUUUAGUGAAAAAUCAAAUAUCCCACAAUACAAACUAUAAAGUAGCUGUCUGUGAAAAGGCUCUGCCAUGUGUGGAUUCAUAUCACAGAGAUAAACCUGUCUUUUAAAUCAGCAGGUUGGAAACACUCUUGUUCUAGAAUCUGCAAAGGGACAUUUGGAAGCCAAUUAAGGCCUAUAGCUAAAAACCAAUUAUUCCCCCCAAAUAACUAAAAUGAAGCUAUCUGUGGAAAUGCUUUGUGAAGUGUUGAUUUAUCUCACAAAGUUAAACCUUUCUUUUGAUUCAUCUCGUUGGAAACCCUCUUUUUGUAGAAUCUGCGCAGGGGCAUUUGGGAACCCAUUGAGGCCUGUAGUGAUGAACUUAUAAUCCCAUGAUAAAAACUAAAAAGAAGUUUUCUGUGAAAAUGCUUUGAACUUUGUGGAAUUAUCUCACAGAGUUAAAUGUUUCUUUUGAUUCAGCAGGUUGGAAACACUCUUUUAGUAGAAUCUGUGCAGGGACACAUCAGAAUCCAUUGAGGCCUAUAGUGAAAAUCUGAUAUCCCAUGAUAAAAACUCAAAAGAAGCUAACUGUUAAAUGCUUUGUGCUUUGUGGAUUCAUCUCACAUAGUUAAACCUUUUUUUUUUGAUUCAGAUGGUUGGAAACACUCUUUUUGUACAAUCUAUGCAAAGACAUUUUGAAACACAAUGAGUUGUAUAGUGAAAAACAGGUGUCAUGUGAUAAAAACAAGAAAGAAGCUACUUGUUAAAAUGCUUUGCACUUUAUUCAUUCAUCUCACAGAGUUAAACCACUGUUUUGAUUCAUCAGGUUGGAAUCACUCUUUUUGUAGUAUCUGCACAAGGAUAUUUGGGAGUCCCUUGAGACAUAUAGUGAUAAUCAGAAUAUCCUGUGAUAAAAACUAAAAAGAAGCUAUCUAUGAAAAUGCUUUGUGCUUUGUGGAUCAUCUCACAGAGUUAAAACUUUCCUUUGAAUCAGCAGGUUCAAAAGACUCUUUUUGUAGAAUCUGUGCAGGGUCUUUUGGGAGCCCAUUGAGGCCUAUAGUGAUAAAAAGAGUUUUCUGCAAUAAAAACUAAAAAAGAUAUCUGUGAAAGUGCUUUCCACUUUAUGGAUUCAUUCCACAAGUUAAAACAUUCUUUUGAUUCAGUAGGAUGAAAAUAUUCUUCCUGGAGAAUCUUAGUAGGAAGAUUUCUGAGUCCAUUGAGGCCUAUAGUGAAGAAAAGAAAACUCCAUGAUAAAAACUAGAGGGAAGUAUCUGAGAAAAUGCUUUGCAAUGUGUGGAUUCAUCUCACAGAGUUUAACCUUUCUUUUGAGGCAGCAGGUUGGAAACACUCUUUUUGUAGAAUCUGCACAAGGACAUUUGGUGUUCUAUUGAGGCCUAUAGUGAUAAACUGAAUAUCCCACAAUAAAAACUAAAAAGAAGCUAUCUGUGAAAACACUUUACACCUUGAGGAUUCAUCUCACAAAUUUAAACCUUUCUUUUAAUUCAGCAGGUUGGAAACACUCUUUUUGUAGUAUCUGUUUAGUGACACUUAGUGCCUAUUGAGGCCUCGAGUGAUAAACUGAUUAUCCUGCAAUUAAAACAACAAAAAAGCUAUUCUUAAAAGUUCUUUGUGCUUUGUAGAUUCAUUUCACAGGAUUAAACCUUUCUUUUGAUUCAUCAGGUUGGAAACACUCUUUUUGUAGAAUCUGUGCAAGGACAUUUCUAAGCCCAUUGAAGCCUAUAGUGAUAAACUGAAUAUCCUUUGAUAAAAACUGAAAAGAAGCUAUCUAUGAUAAUGCUUUGUGCUUUGUGGAUUCACCUCACAGAUUUUAACCUUUCUUUUGAUUCAGCAGGUAGGAAACACUCUUCUUGUAGAAUCUGUAUAGGGACACUUCGGAGCCCAUUGGUGCCUGUAGUGAAAAACUGAUAUUUCGUGAUAAAAACUAGAAAGAAGCUCCCUGUAAAAACACUCAGGAUGUGUGGAUUAAUCUAACAGAGUUACACCUUUA
rnacentral:lncRNA from 10 species